rnacentral:rRNA from 1 species
GGGGAAUAUUGCACAAUGGGCGAAAGCCUGAUGCAGCGACGCCGCGUGAGGGAUGAAGGCCUUCGGGUUGUAAACCUUUUUCGCUUUUGACCAAGGCAGCAUUUUGGUGUUGUUGAGGGUAUGAGGUAAAGAAGCUCCGGCUAACUACGUGCCAGCAGCCGCGGUAAUACGUAGGGAGCGAGCGUUGUCCGGAUUUAUUGGGCGUAAAGGGCUUGUAGGUGGCUUGUCGCGUCUGCCGUGAAAUUCCGCAGCUUAACUGUGGUAGUGCGGUGGGUACGGGCAGGCUUGAGUGUGGUAGGGGAGACUGGAAUUCCUGGUGUAGCGGUGGAAUGCGCAGAUACCAGGAGGAACACCGGUGGCGAAGGCGGGUCUCUGGGCCAUUACUGACGCUGAGGAGCGAAAGCGUGGGGAGCGAAC